AAUCUGAAAAGGUAAAAGAGAAGACAGUUGUUCCAUGGCAAAGACAAUUCGAUUAAGGGGCUUCGGAGCUGCCAUCGUUGCGGUGGCAGGUGCCUACGGUGUAAUGGGUUUGAGAGACCCAAUUCCGAACGUGGUUGAGAGUGAUAGAGGAGAGAGCAUUGAGAGUUUCAGGAGAAAAAUCUCUGAUGUGAACGCUUCUGUUCCGUCGAGAAAAGUUCAGGAGUCCGCUUUGAAAGGAACCAGUGCUGCCAAUCCUCUCGACGUUCUUGUAGUUGGCGGUGGCGCUACCGGCUGCGGUGUGGCGCUUGACGCUGUUUCCAGGGGCCUUCGAGUUGGGCUCGUUGAGAGAGAGGAUUUCUCUUCGGGGACUUCCUCUAGGUCCACCAAGCUCAUUCAUGGAGGGGUACGCUACUUGGAGAAAGCUGUCUUCAAUUUUGACUAUGGGCAGCUGAAACUGGUUUUUCAUGCACUGGAGGAGCGUAAACAGGUUAUCGAGAAUGCUCCACACUUAUGUCAUGCUUUACCAUGCAUGACACCGUGUUUCAACUGGUUUGAAGUAGUUUACUACUGGUUGGGAUUGAAAUUAUACGAUGUGGUCGCAGGACCACGCUUGCUUCAUUUGUCCCGGUAUUAUUCUGCACAAGAAUCAGUUGAACUCUUCCCAACCCUUUCAAGGAAGGUUGAGGAUAGAAUCUUGAAGGGUACAGUGGUGUACUAUGAUGGACAGAUGAAUGACUCUCGACUGAAUGUUGGCCUGGCAUGUACUGCUGCAUUAGCUGGUGCAGCUGUGCUCAACUAUGCAGAAGUGAUUUCCUUUCUUAAGGAUGAGGUUACCGACCGUAUAAUUGGUGCACGCAUCCGUAACAAUUUGUCAGGAAAAGAGUUUGAUGCAUAUGCCAAAGUUGUUGUGAAUGCUGCUGGCCCAUUUUGUGAUUCUGUGAGGAGGAUGGCUAACAAAGAUGCACAAGCCAUGGUCUGUCCCAGCAGUGGUGUUCACAUUGUUCUCCCAGAUUAUUAUUCUCCUGAAGGGAUGGGCUUAAUUGUUCCAAAAACUAAGGAUGGACGUGUAGUCUUCAUGUUGCCAUGGCUGGGAAGAACAAUUGCUGGAACUACAGAUUCCAGUACUACAAUUACAAUGCUUCCAGAACCUCAUGAAGAUGAAAUACAAUUUAUCCUAGAUGCGAUCUGUGAUUACCUUAAUGUCAAGGUUCGUCGAAUGGAUGUUCUCUCUGCUUGGAGUGGUAUUCGUCCUUUGGCAAUGGAUCCUUCAGCAAAAAACACUGAGAGCAUUUCCAGAGAUCAUGUUGUAUUUGAAGAUUACCCUGGUUUGAUCACCAUUACUGGUGGAAAAUGGACUACUUACCGAAGCAUGGCAGAAGCUGCAGUUGAAGCAGCUGUAAAGUCUGGUAAGUUGAGCCCAACCAAUGGCUGUGUGACCAACCACCUAAAGAUUGUUGGUGGAGAUGGGUGGAGUCGAGCAUUUUUUACAGUGCUUGCUCAACAAUUUGUUCGUAUGAAGAAGACAUAUGGUGGUAAAGUUGUUCCUGAGGCAAUGGACAGUGCUAUAGCCAAGCAUUUAGCUCAUUCUUACGGUACUUUGGCACAAAAAGUUGCUGCCAUAGCUCAGAAUGAAAAUCUAGGAAAGAGGCUUGCUCAUGGAUAUCCCUUUCUAGAGGCGGAAGUUGCAUACUGUGCUCGGCAUGAGUACUGUGAGUCUGCUGUUGAUUUCAUUGCUAGGAGAUGUAGGCUUGCUUUUCUGGACACUGAUGCAGCAAGCCGAGCAUUGCCCCGCGUAAUUGAGAUACUGACUGCUGAACACCAGUGGGAUAGGUCAAGGAAGAAGGCAGAGUUGCAGAAAGCUAAGGAAUUCUUGGAAACAUUUAAGUCAUCUAAAAAUGCUCAAUUCUAUCACGGAAAACACACAGGGUCAUGAACUGAAUUAUGAGGAAACAUAAUGGAGGGGAGUUGUUCAGUACCAUAUUAUUUGGUUCCUACCACAUGUGAUUGGAUCAGCCCAAGAAACAGGACUUGAGCACUUAGACAGGGACUUUGUGGAGCAGUGUGUAUAGGAGAAAGCGGGUAGAAGUGUGAUCAGAUGCAGAGUCUUUGAUUAAAGCUCUUGAGAGAGAUGAUGGGGUCAGGUCGCCUCGGGGCAUUUUUCCUCUUCUUUGUGAUAUUUACUUUUCUGCUAAGAUAAACUCUCUUCGUUUUGUUACGAAGCGUAGGCAGCUGUUAUUAUUGCUCAAU